rnacentral:rRNA from 1 species
GACGAACGCUGGCGGCGUGCUUAACACAUGCAAGUCGAACGGAAAGGCCCUGCUUUUGUGGGGUGCUCGAGUGGCGAACGGGUGAGUAACACGUGAGUAACCUGCCCUUGACUUUGGGAUAACUUCAGGAAACUGGGGCUAAUACCGGAUAGGAGCUCCUGCUGCAUGGUGGGGGUUGGAAAGUUUCGGCGGUUGGGGAUGGACUCGCGGCUUAUCAGCUUGUUGGUGGGGUAGUGGCUUACCAAGGCUUUGACGGGUAGCCGGCCUGAGAGGGUGACCGGCCACAUUGGGACUGAGAUACGUCCCAGACUCCUACAGGAGGCAGCAGUGUCGAAUAUUACACAAUGGGCGGAAGCCUGAUGCAGCAACGCCGCGUGCGGGAUGACGGCCUUCGGGUUGUAAACCGCUUUCGCCUGUGACGAAGCGUGAGUGACGGUAAUGGGUAAAGAAGCACCGGCUAACUACGUG